CACGUAGGGCGCAAGCGUUGUCCGGAAUUAUUGGGCGUAAAGAGCUCGUAGGCGGUCUGUUGCGUCCGCUGUGAAAACUCGGGGCUUAACCCCGAGCCUGCAGUGGAUACGGGCAGACUAGAGGUAGGUAGGGGAGAAUGGAAUUCCCGGUGUAGCGGUGAAAUGCGCAGAUAUCGGGAGGAACACUGGUGGCGAAGGCGGUUCUCUGGGCCUUACCUGACGCUGAGGAGCGAAAGCCAGGGGAGCGAACGGG
rnacentral:rRNA from 1 species